rnacentral:tRNA from 1 species
UAGCUCAGUGUUAAGAGUGCUUGCCUAACAUGUAGGAAGCCCUGGGUUCAAUCCCCAG